CGGGACACGUGGUAUCCUGUCUGAAUAUGGGGGGACCAUCCUCCAAGGCUAAAUACUCCUGACUGACCGAUAGUGAACCAGUACCGUGAGGGAAAGGCGAAAAGAACCCCGGCGAGGGGAGUGAAAAAGAACCUGAAACCGUGUACGUACAAGCAGUGGGAGCACAGAGCAAUCUGUGUGACUGCGUACCUUUUGUAUAAUGGGUCAGCGACUUAUAUUCUGUAGCAAGGUUAACCGAAUAGGGGAGCCGAAGGGAAACCGAGUCUUAACUGGGCGUUAAGUUGCAGGGUAUAGACCCGAAACCCGGUGAUCUAGCCAUGGGCAGGUUGAAGGUUGGGUAACACUAACUGGAGGACCGAACCGACUAAUGUUGAAAAAUUAGCGGAUGACUUGUGGCUGGGGGUGAAAGGCCAAUCAAACCGGGAGAUAGCUGGUUCUCCCCGAAAGCUAUUUAGGUAGCGCCUCGUGAAUUCAUCUCCGGGGGUAGAGCACUGUUUCGGCAAGGGGGUCAUCCCGACUUACCAACCCGAUGCAAACUGCGAAUACCGGAGAAUGUUAUCACGGGAGACACACGGCGGGUGCUAACGUCCGUCGUGAAGAGGGAAACAACCCAGACCGCCAGCUAAGGUCCCAAAGUCAUGGUUAAGUGGGAAACGAUGUGGGAAGGCCCAGACAGCCAGGAUGUUGGCUUAGAAGCAGCCAUCAUUUAAAGAAAGCGUAAUAGCUCACUGGUCGAGUCGGCCUGCGCGGAAGAUGUAACGGGGCUAAACCAUGCACCGAAGCUGCGGCAGCGACGCUUAUGCGUUGUUGGGUAGGGGAGCGUUCUGUAAGCCUGCGAAGGUGUGCUGUGAGGCAUGCUGGAGGUAUCAGAAGUGCGAAUGCUGACAUAAGUAACGAUAAAGCGGGUGAAAAGCCCGCUCGCCGGAAGACCAAGGGUUCCUGUCCAACGUUAAUCGGGGCAGGGUGAGUCGACCCCUAAGGCGAGGCCGAAAGGCGUAGUCGAUGGGAAACAGGUUAAUAUUCCUGUACUUGGUGUUACUGCGAAGGGGGGACGGAGAAGGCUAUGUUGGCCGGGCGACGGUUGUCCCGGUUUAAGCGUGUAGGCUGGUUUUCCAGGCAAAUCCGGAAAAUCAAGGCUGAGGCGUGAUGACGAGGCACUACGGUGCUGAAGCAACAAAUGCCCUGCUUCCAGGAAAAGCCUCUAAGCAUCAGGUAACAUCAAAUCGUACCCCAAACCGACACAGGUGGUCAGGUAGAGAAUACCAAGGCGCUUGAGAGAACUCGGGUGAAGGAACUAGGCAAAAUGGUGCCGUAACUUCGGGAGAAGGCACGCUGAUAUGUAGGUGAAGUCCCUCGCGGAUGGAGCUGAAAUCAGUCGAAGAUACCAGCUGGCUGCAACUGUUUAUUAAAAACACAGCACUGUGCAAACACGAAAGUGGACGUAUACGGUGUGACGCCUGCCCGGUGCCGGAAGGUUAAUUGAUGGGGUUAGCGCAAGCGAAGCUCUUGAUCGA
rnacentral:rRNA from 1 species